rnacentral:pre_miRNA from 1 species
CUCCGUUCCGCAAUGGCACUGCAUGAAUUCACGGCUUGCAUCCGGCCACACGGACAUUUACGCCGCGGAUUGUGCGGUACCAUAGCGGACGGACGGGC